rnacentral:rRNA from 1 species
AUUGAACGCUGGCGGCAUGCCUUACACAUGCAAGUCGAACGGCAGCACGGGUGCUUGCACCUGGUGGCGAGUGGCGAACGGGUGAGUAAUACAUCGGAACGUACCUUAUCGUGGGGGAUAACGCAGCGAAAGCUGUGCUAAUACCGCAUACGCCCUGAGGGGGAAAGCGGGGGAGCGAAAGACCUCGCGCGAUUAGGGCGGCCGAUGCCUGAUUAGCUUGUUGGUGGGGUAAAAGCCCACCAAGGCGACGAUCAGUAGCUGGUCUGAGAGGACGAUCAGCCACACUGGGACUGAGACACGGCCCAGACUCCUACGGGAGGCAGCAGUGGGGAAUUUUGGACAAUGGGGGCAACCCUGAUCCAGCAAUGCCGCGUGAGUGAAGAAGGCCUUCGGGUUGUAAAGCUCUUUUGUCAGGGAAGAAACACCGGCUCUAACACAGUCCGGGAAUGACGGUACCUGAAGAAUAAGCACCGGCUAACUACGUGCCAGCAGCCGCCGUAA